UACGGGAGGCAGCAGUGGGGAAUAUUGCACAAUGGGCGCAAGCCUGAUGCAGCCAUGCCGCGUGUAUGAAGAAGGCCUUCGGGUUGUAAAGUACUUUCAGUCGUGAGGAAGGUGUUAAGGUUAAUAACCUUAGCAAUUGACGUUAGCGACAGAAGAAGCACCGGCUAACUCCGUGCCAGCAGCCGCGGUAAUACGGAGGGUGCGAGCGUUAAUCGGAAUUACUGGGCGUAAGGGCACGCAGGCGGUUAAUUAAGUUGGAUGUGAAAUCCCCGGGCUUAACCUGGGAAUGGCAUUCAAGACUGGUUAGCUAGAGUCUUGUAGAGGGGGUAGAAUUCCAUGUGUAGCGGUGAAAUGCGUAGAGAUGUGGAGGAAUACCGGUGGCGAAGGCGGCCCCUGGACAAAGACUGACGCUCAUGUGCGAAAGCGUGGGGAGCGAAACAGGGAUUAGAUACC
rnacentral:rRNA from 1 species